ensembl:lncRNA
CCCCCCCCCGGAGCAGCGGUUGCUGACUUUCUGCACCAGCAGCGCGAUUAGCCGCAGCCUGAACGGCGGGAGAACGGCCGGGCCCAGCUCCAGCACGGAGAGCGCGGCACCCGAGCCUGGAUCAGAACAAGGCAGAGUGAUCUUUAGAUUGACUAAGGGAGAUUGAGCGGGGCAGAUGCUGUUCUUCUGUACUCUGCCAAAGGAACGUGGGCCAGUGAGAAUUCCCACAGCCUGGAGGGCUCAAGCAGGAUUAUGUGGAUUCAUUGCAUGUGACAGCAGCAUCUCAUGGCCAUCUCUGAAACACUACUGCUGGAGGCCAGCAGUUAUUCAGGCCCCAAACACUCCUCUGAUUUUGUGUUUCUCUGCCGUCCAAGGUAUGGGCAGCCUUUGUCCAGGAACUGGUAAGAAAAAAACUUAUUCCACCAGGCAACCACAAGAAUUUAUACUGUCUCAGAUUUAUUGUAUUUGAACUGAUAAAAGAGGUUUAAAAAAAGAAAAAGAAAAGAGUGAAAGCUGUUCUCAAUUGAGAACUCACUCCAGGAAAAUUAGGAGCAACUCCGUAGACUUUAUUGGCAUAACUUUGCAUAUUUAAGGUGCUAAUAAUGACCUUUUAGAUGAUGUUGCCAUCUGUAUUUUAAAAGAGAAAAGUUAUUCUGAAAACGGAUAUAUGAAUAUAAUGGUAAUAUAGCGUUAUAGCUACUGCCCUGAUGCUGCUUAUUAUUUUUCCAGUCUUUUAGUGGGAUUGGUAAGUGCUGCUCAUGUAUUGAAUUUGCUAAGUGUGGCUGGUAUUUACAGAAAAAUUGAGGAAAUACUGUCAUUUCCCUGAUUGUGAUCUUAGUUCACACCCAUGAAAAUUUUUCUCCCACUACUUAAUUUCUUGGGUUCUUGGGUCCAUUCCUGUAUAGUGUCAGUCACCUACAAUUGUCUCUGACUUCAAGUUAUUUCUCUCAGAUCCAGCAAGAAGAUACGGGUAAUAAUGCAUAGCUUGUGGUUUGACUUAUUUAUGUACCCAUUUUAAAAACUCAUUCUUAGUAUAAGGACUUUGUAGAGGUGUGCAGCACAUUGCUUACCAUUUCCUUCUGUUCACUGAAUCUCUCCUGAAUCACAGUUGUUUUUUCUCUGGAAAUCAUUAAGGCUCCAUUUCAGCAGGGAUACGUGUCUAUUUUUGUAAAUCCCUCAAAUGAACAUCACACAUUGGCUCCUGCAAAUUGCAGGCUUCAGGUACUCAUCCGACCUACUAGUUUGAAAACAUUACUACCUCCAUGUUCAAUCUUUAGAAAGACUAUAGAACAUAUCAUAAUAUUUCAGUACUGUGAGAUGGAGAACAAAUAAGGCAAUUAAGGAGAAAACAAGUGUCAGAAAUUAUUCUGAUGGUCAAUUCUCUUCCAUUUUAGACAAUUAUUUUAAAAGCUUAAGCAUCCUUUCUCUUAGUAUUUCUGCUUGCAAUUUAAGGGCUUUUUUGCUUAAGAUGUUGCUUCAAUAGACAAGUUAAAUUGGCCUGCGGAAUGAACAGCACCACCUAAUUUUCAGCUGUAAGAGAUCGUAAGGAUAAGACAAAUGAUGGGAUAAAGAAGUGGGGGAGAGAAGAACAUUGUGGGCUGCAGUAUUCUGGAGCAGUAUUACUGUUACUAAUACCAAUAACAACAACAAAAAAAAAACGCAUUCAAAUAUCUUAAGAUUUCUAAGAUUUUAAAGUGUAUGUAUUCCUGAGAGACUGAAUGUAUUUAAACUGUUUUUCUAAACAUUUUAAAAAAAUUCAGAGAAAACUGUAAUUAGUCAUAAGGUCAAUCACCAUAUUUUCCAGAUUUUAGUAUAGUGGCCCAACAUCAAUAAAUUUUUCAGAAUUUAAUAUUAAUACUGGAAA